rnacentral:tRNA from 1 species
GCGGAUGUAGCUCAGUUGGUAGAGCACAACCUUGCCAAGGUUGGGGUCGCGGGUUCGAGUCCCGUCAUCCGCU